rfam:Crassostrea gigas strain 05x7-T-G4-1.051#20 contig1570, whole genome shotgun sequence.
GAUGCGGAAGGCCUCGCUUGUCUCCAUGAUUAUUUAACAUGAGACAGUGUGUCCUCCCUUGUCA